AGCUCAGUUGGUAGAAUGCUUGCCUCGCAUGCAUGAGGCCCUGGGUUCAAUUCCCAG
rnacentral:tRNA from 1 species